AAUGAAUUAAGUACUCAAUCUCUGUAGAGGAAGGAGAGGUGUUUGUUUGGGGUUUUGGGAUCCUGGGAAAGGGCCAGAAACUUUAAGAGUCUGCAAUCCCAGAAAGAGUGCCAGCCACAUUUUUUGGGAGGUCAGAGUUCAGCCCUACAGUCAAAGUGUAGUCCAUCUGCUGUGGACUCACUUUGCAGCUAUCACAGGUAAACUACAACAAUGAACAUUAUUACUUAGCAUUUGCAUUGACUCGAUAUAUUAACUGUUGUUGUACGGAGUAUGAUCAAGUGUUUUGAGAGAUUUUAAAUGUGCUCUUAUGAAAUAUAUUAAGUGUUAAUGUUCUUUCUCCUGAAAACACCUGCUACAAAUGCUUACACAACCAUGUUGUUAUUAAAUCCAGUCUGCUUCCUGGCCAACAUCCAUGUAAAUAGAUGGCUGAAGAUUGUUUCUACAUGAAUAUUGUUUUCAGAUCGAGGUGAGCUGUUUGUUUGGGGUAAGAAUGUUAGAGGAUGUCUCAGCGUUGGGAAACAUGAUGACCAGUAUUUUCCAUGGAGGGUGACAGUACCAGGCCACGUGACGGAUGUUGCCUGUGGUGUUGACCACAUGGUGGCGCUGGUUAAAUCAAUCAUAUGAGAGACUGUUAUGGCAGAUCUGGCCUAUUUUUCUGGCACUUCAGCGAACACCAUCAGCAUGCCACGUUUUAUUAACAAGUCCAAAGGUUCUGGAGAAAUAAAGGCCCUCACUAAGGAGUCUUCAUGUCACACUGAAUCGAGCAAGCCAAGACUGUGUUUAAGGUAAUAAGGAAAUGGGACACCUCUGCUGUUGACAGUGCUGACCUCAAAAAUAGACAUGGGUCUGACACCUAAAUAACUCAAGACCUCUUAUUGAAUCUUAUGUUGAUUAGUUGGACACUUUGGAAGUUUCCUCAAUGUUUUGUCACAUCGUCAUCACUUGAAGUGGACACUGUAUGUUCAAAGCCACAUUAUCUGUGCUGUUUCUAGAUCUGCUUUUCUUGUUAAAAGCACACUAAAUUGUCAAUAGGCUAAAAAAAUCAACAAACUGUUUUAUUAUAAAAUAAAAUUAUAAAACCUUUGCUCAAAUUACUAGCUGAUGAAAAUAUUAAAUAAAAACGGAUUAAAUAAAAAUAAUCAAAAAUGCACAUUGAUAUUAUAUACUAUUUCAUUAUGCUUGAGGUGGCUGCAAAAAUGUAUAAAUAUUAAAAAGCAACUGAUUUGAAGUUAUAUUGAAACUCCUGUAUCCUUAAGAAUCAAGGACAUGCUUUAUUUGUACCAAACUGUAUUGAUAGUGAUUGACAUUGUGAGGAAAAAGAAAGGAAUAGUUGAAAAUCACCCUCUUUAAUGUGCAAAUAUAAAGGGACAGUUUCUGACCUACACAAAGUGUCAAGAAACAGAAAGAAAAAUUCAUGUUCAGGUAAAAACAGUAAUCAGGUUAUGACCUUUUCUGGGGUCUGAGCUGGUUUAAUCUAAUUCUCCAAAUCAAUCAUUUGUAUGGGUGGUUAGAAGUCGUAGCUUCAGCAAAUAUCGUCCCACAGAAAUCAUUUGUAAAUCACAGAUGUUUAGUCAUAUCUUCAGAAACUUGUGCAUAUAACAAAUCUUCAAUUGGCACAUGGUCUAGCAGUCACAUGGUGUAAACCCCCACUGUAUGCUAAAGAAAACACGGUUCAAACAGUGAGAAAAAAAAAAAAAAAAAAAAAAAAAAAAAAAAA